rnacentral:rRNA from 1 species
GACGAACGCUGGCGGCGUGCUUAACACAUGCAAGUCGAACGGAAAGGCCCUGCUUUUGUGGGGUGCUCGAGUGGCGAACGGGUGAGUAACACGUGAGUAACCUGCCCUUGACUUUGGGACAACUUCAGGAAACUGGGGCUAAUACCGGAUAGGAGCUCCUGCUGCAUGGUGGGGGUUGGAAAGUUUCGGCGGUUGGGGAUGGACUCGCGGCUUAUCAGCUUGUUGGUGGGGUAGUGGCUUACCAAGGCUUUGACGGGUAGCCGGCCUGAGAGGGUGACCGGCCACAUUGGAACUGAGAUACGGCCCAGACUCCUACGGGAGGCAGCAGUGGGGAAUAUUGCACAAUGGGCGGAAGCCUGAUGCAGCAACGCCGCGUGCGGGAUGACGGCCUUCGGGUUGUAAACUGCUUUCGCCUGUGACGAAGCGUGAGUGACGGUAAUGGGUAAAGAAGCACCGGCUAACUACGUG